UACGAAGGGGGCUAGCGUUGCUCGGAAUUACUGGGCGUAAAGCGCACGUAGGCGGUCUUUUAAGUCGGGGGUGAAAUCCUGGAGCUCAACUCCAGAACUGCCUUCGAUACUGGAAGACUUGAGUCCGGGAGAGGUGAGUGGAACUGCGAGUGUAGAGGUGAAAUUCGUAGAUAUUCGCAAGAACACCAGUGGCGAAGGCGGCUCACUGGCCCGGUACUGACGCUGAGACGCGAAAGCGUGGGGAGCAAACAGGG
rnacentral:rRNA from 1 species